rnacentral:rRNA from 1 species
CGGGGCAACCCGCAAGUAGAGUGGCGAACGGGUGAGUAAUACAUCGGAACGUGUCCAGUAGCGGGGGAUAACCUCUCGAAAGAGAGGCUAAUACCGCAUACGACCUACGGGUGAAAGAGGGGGAUCGCAAGACCUCUCACUAUUGGAGCGGCCGAUGUCGGAUUAGCUAGUUGGCGGGGUAAAAGCCCACCAAGGCUACGAUCCGUAGCUGGUCUGAGAGGACGACCAGCCACACUGGAACUGAGACACGGUCCAGACUCCUACGGGAGGCAGCAGUGGGGAAUUUUGGACAAUGGGCGCAAGCCUGAUCCAGCCAUGCCGCGUGAGUGAAGAAGGCCUUCGGGUUGUAAAGCUCUUUCGGCUGGGACGAAAAGGUCCGUGCCAACACCACGGAUCCAUGACGGUACCAGCAGAAGAAGCACCGGCUAACUACGUGCCAGCAGCCGCGGUAAUACGUAGGGUGCAGGCGUUAAUCGGAAUUACUGGGCGUAAAGCGUGCGCAGGCGGUUUGCUAAGACAGGUGUGAAAUCCCCGGGCUUAACCUGGGAACUGCGCUUGUUACUGGCAGGCUGGAGUGUGGCAGAGGGGGGUGGAAUUCCAGGUGUAGCAGUGAAAUGCGUAGAGAUCUGGAGGAACACCGAUGGCGAAGGCAGCCCCCUGGGCUAACACUGACGCUCAUGCACGAAAGCGUGGGGAGCAAACAGGAUUAGAUACCCUGGUAGUCCACGCCCUAAACUAUGUCAACUGGUUGUCGG